rnacentral:rRNA from 1 species
GACGUAGGGGGCGAGCGUUGUCCGGAUUUAUUGGGCGUAAAGCGUGCGUAGGCGGCUGCGCAAGUCGGGUGUGAAACCCCGGGGCUCAACCCCGGAACUGCAUCCGAUACUGCGUGGCUAGAGGUAGGUAGGGGAGAUCGGAAUUCCUGGUGUAGCGGUGAAAUGCGCAGAUAUCAGGAGGAACACCGGUGGCGAAGGCGGAUCUCUGGGCCUUACCUGACGCUCAGGCACGAAAGCUAGAGGAGCGAACAGG